GGGAUAUGAUGAGUGGUCAAUGUGAGAUGGGUGUCCGUCCCUGCCUGAUUAUGACAAUUGGGCAUCCUCAUCUUAACCAUCUAAUCCC